CCUUUGACGUUAGCGGCGGACGGGUGAGUAACACGUGGGUAACCUACCUAUAAGACUGGGAUAACUUCGGGAAACCGGAGCUAAUACCGGAUAAUAUUUCGAACCGCAUGGUUCGAUAGUGAAAGAUGGUUUUGCUAUCACUUAUAGAUGGACCUGCGCCGUAUUAGCUAGUUGGUAAGGUAACGGCUUACCAAGGCGACGAUACGUAGCCGACCUUAGAGGGUGAUCGGCCACACUGGAACUGAGACACGGUCCAGACUCCUACGGGAGGCAGCAGCC
rnacentral:rRNA from 1 species